rnacentral:rRNA from 1 species
UCUGGUUGAUCCUGCCAGUAGUCAUAUGCUUGUCUCAAAGAUUAAGCCAUGCAUGUCUAAGUAUAAGCAAUUUAUACAGUGAAACUGCGAAUGGCUCAUUAAAUCAGUUAUCGUUUAUUUGAUAGUUCCUUUACUACAUGGUAUAACUGUGGUAAUUCUAGAGCUAAUACAUGCUUAAAAUCUCGACCCUUUGGAAGAGAUGUAUUUAUUAGAUAAAAAAUCAAUGUCUUCGGACUCUUUGAUGAUUCAUAAUAACUUUUCGAAUCGCAUGGCCUUGUGCUGGCGAUGGUUCAUUCAAAUUUCUGCCCUAUCAACUUUCGAUGGUAGGAUAGUGGCCUACCAUGGUUUCAACGGGUAACGGGGAAUAAGGGUUCGAUUCCGGAGAGGGAGCCUGAGAAACGGCUACCACAUCCAAGGAAGGCAGCAGGCGCGCAAAUUACCCAAUCCUAAUUCAGGGAGGUAGUGACAAUAAAUAACGAUACAGGGCCCAUUCGGGUCUUGUAAUUGGAAUGAGUACAAUGUAAAUACCUUAACGAGGAACAAUUGGAGGGCAAGUCUGGUGCCAGCAGCCGCGGUAAUUCCAGCUCCAAUAGCGUAUAUUAAAGUUGUUGCAGUUAAAAAGCUCGUAGUUGAACUUUGGGCCCGGUUGGCCGGUCCGAUUUUUCGUGUACUGGAUUUCCAACGGGGCCUUUCCUUCUGGCUAACCUUGAGUCCUUGUGGCUCUUGGCGAACCAGGACUUUACUUUGAAAAAAUUAGAGUGUUCAAGCAGGCGUAUUGCUCGAAUAUAUUAGCAUGGAAUAAUAGAAUAGGACGUUUGGUUCUAUUUUGUUGGUUUUCUAGGACCAUCGUAAUGAUUAAUAGGGACGGUCGGGGGCAUCAGUAAUUCAAUUGUCAGAGGUGAAAUUC